GAUUCAGUGGUGUAGGGGUAUCAUGGGCGCUUGCCAUUGGCAAAGUGCGCCCGACCCGGGUUCGAAUCCCGGCUGAAUCA